ACUGGAACAGCUAAUAGGCACAAAGCGGAGAAGCUUCAACCUAGGAAUGUUGUUCAUUACAGCAGCCUAGGAGAGGACACAGUAAGAGAAAAUAGUCCCUGCUUUUCAGGUUCUGCAAAGUGUCCACCCUCUUCUUGUUUUUAGGCUGCAAAUGAAGAGUGCCUUUAAGCGACACACUUUUGGGAGUGGGACAGCUUUGAAUUGUGAGCGGUGGAAAGUAGUUGGACACUGAAUUCUUCAGCUCCUCUAAAGUCUGUGCAUUUUUCUGCUCUUUUUGCUGUGGAACAGCCUGGAGCUUCUUGACUCAUAAGCAGCAGGAAUGCAGCAGUAUAGCGGUCCCAGGUGAUGUCCAUGCUCCCCAUCCACAUCCGUGUUUCCCAGGAUUCCAAAUCGUUUUGCAAGCUAUUUACAGGAAUCAUUUCAUCCACCAGCAAAAUGAGACCAACUCAGCAGGACAACAUAGAAUCUGUUUGGUAGUGACACAACAGUACUGCUCAAGAAGUGAAGAUUGUUCUGUCCACUGGAGAACAGAGAAGAGGAUUUCAAGCUAAGAACAGAACAUCAUUAUUCUGACUAUAAAGAUUUCAUCUCAGUCUUCUAAAACAAAUGAAAAAUGUUGUGAGAUCUGACAUGAUCAAGUAAUCAGCAUAUCAUCUGUGUAUUAUAAAUGCCCCUCUUUUUGUGCAUCUCUUUUAAUUCCUUUAAUGAGAAAGUGUAAUGACUUCAGUGCUAGGAAAUGGAAAUGUUGAUACCAAAUGUUAAAUAAUAUUCCUGAAAUUGCCCAUACAACAUAGAGCCUGCUCUACUGUUCAUCAGUCAAGGUCAGAUCAGUGCAGAAGAGUAUCCCAUCACUUGCUAGACGUAUGUAAGUAACCAUUAGGGGAGCUGAGCUAUUUAUUCCAAAACAUUCACUUUCCACCUAAAAAUGUCAUUUAAUUUAAUGAACAUAAAGACUGUAAUCUUAAGUGUAUUUGCUAGGAUUAUGCUGAGUAGGGCUUUCUUCCAAGUAAACAUUUACAUUUAGGGUAUAUAUUUCAUGAACACAUAAACCUUAAGCAAACAUUUUUUGUACAUGAAAAUGUCUGUAAAACAUGUACAUUAUUUUCUCUAACUGUAAAGUAUUCAGAUUAAAAAUGCACCUAAGUACAGGCCCCCUCAAAUGCAGGAACCUUCCUCAAAUGAAGGAAGUGUUGAAUACACAUUCAUUCACACAUUGUGUGCACUGAACACAAUGUGUGAA